GAUGAACGCUGACCGAAUGCUUAACACAUGCAAGUCUUUGGCGAAGCUGUGCUUGCACCGCCUAGCCAAGGCGGACGGGUGAGUAACGCGUAAGGAACUUGCCCUGCAGUCAGGGAUAACAGACGGAAACGACUGAUAAGACCUGGUAAAGUCAGGCGGACUCAUGUCCAGCCUGAUGAAAAGAGAUGCUGCAGGAGAGCCUUGCGUCCUAUUAGCUUGUUGGUGGGGUAACGGCCCACCAAGGCGAUGAUAGGUAGCCGGCCUGAGAGGGUGGACGGCCACAAGGGGACUGAGAUACGGCCCUUACUCCUACGGGAGGCAGCAGUGGGGAAUAUUGGACAAUGGGGGCAACCCUGAUCCAGCAAUUCUGUGUGCACGAUGAAGGUUUUCGGAUUGUAAAGUGCUUUCAGCAGGGAAGAAAAAAAUGACGGUACCUGCAGAAGAAGCGACGGCUAAAUACGUG
rnacentral:rRNA from 1 species